rnacentral:rRNA from 1 species
UCGAGAAUAAUUCACAAUGGGGGCAACCCUGAUGGUGCAACGCCGCGUGGAGGAUGACGGUCUUCGGAUUGUAAACUCCUGUCAUCUGGGAGUAAGACCUGGCUGUGAAUAGCAGACAGGGUUGAUAGUACCAGAAGAGGAAGGGACGGCUAACUUCGUGCCAGCAGCCGCGGUAAUACGAAGGUCCCAAGCGUUGUUCGGAAUCACUGGGCGUAAAGGGAGCGUAGGCGGCGUAGUAAGUCAGAUGUGAAAUCCCGGGGCUCAACCCCGGAACUGCAUCCGAUACUGCUAUGCUAGAGGAUUGGAGAGGUAGCUGGAAUUCACGGUGUAGCAGUGAAAUGCGUAGAUAUCGUGAGGAACACUCGUGGCGAAAGCGAGCUACUGGACAAUUCCUGACGCUGAGGCUCGAAGGCUAGGGUAGCGAAAG